GCAAAAACUUACUUUAGAGGAGAGAUUGAUACAUUUUUAAAAGCAGACUUCGUCACAGCACCAAAUUAGAGUGUAGAAAAAACCCAGGUUAAUCAGCAGAACCAGGGAACAAGUUUCUGGGGGAAGGCAGGAGCAGGAAUCUUCUCAGCUGGAUUUGCUGCUGUAACAUGGACCACACUGAAGGUUAAAAUCCUAAAAACACCUGAAUUCAGCAUAUGGAACCCUAAAAGGACAGCUGGGGGCAGGAGACAGCACGUGGAGCUACUGAGUCAAGCCACUGAAGAAUGGAAAUGACCAAGGGUUAGGUGAGGAGCCUGGGAGUCAAGUCCCGGCUUCCCUUCCUGACUUCACCACAGAGCUGCUGUGUGGUGCUGCUCAGCUUAUUUGGAGCUGAGAAGAUGGAGGUCUUGCACCUUGCACAAUGGUGAUUAUGUCCUCCAGACAGUAAUUCCUUGUUGACUAUACUUGCCUGCACAGACUGACUUUGGCUUUCACCUUGUUGCUUUCUGAAGGAUGGUCUGAAAGUGGUGGCACCCGAAGCUGGCUGUGCCUCAUGUGACAGAGUUUACAGGCAUGGUCUGUCUGCCUCUCGCAACCCAAACGCACCACAGGUGGGGUUCAGCCGAAUCAUCUAGUGUUCUCCAGUUGUCAGUGGAGAGGAAUAGGCACUUACUGCCUAAGAUUGCAAAUAAACCAUGACCUAAAAGUGCCUGACUAUUUUCUCCUUAUAUUAAAAGAAGCCAGAGAUGAUGAGCUCAGAUGUCCACAUUAUAGAAAUUUGGAGUUAGAUAGCAUUAAACUGGGCCUCAGUUUCCCCAUGUAUAAACUGGGAUAAUGGGACAACAAUGAAUAAUAUCAUAUCUAAUCAGUUUGCUGUCACCCUCUUCUUUAUGUGAGUGCGUUGUAGCCUGCUUGGGCAGGAGAACCCAUGUCAACACACAGUAAAAGGGAAAUGUUAGCCCCAUGUUGUCUGCUGCCCCUUUCCCUUUUCUUUACUGAAGUCACUGCAUUUCUUGUCUCUGUCUAGGCUGCAAGGCAAGGAGCAGAUGGGGCUGAACUAGCUGCACUCUUUGGCAUUGCUCCCAACAACAUGGGUGUAUUUCUGAACUGAACUGCAAUUGAAAACAAACGUUGUUUCAAAAGUCAUUAACUUCCAGAAAGCCCCCACCAAAUCCAUGAGUGAGUGGCUUAAGGAACACCAGAUCAUUCAUUUAUUCACAUAUUUUAAGAGUAGAGGGGGCAUUUUGACUGUCAAGUCUGGUGUCCUAAAUAACACAGUUUGCGUUCCUUCACAUUUGUCCAGCUGUCCUUCAACUGGAACAUCUAUUUCAGAAGAACUCAAGCCAGACCCCCAAAUUCUUAGCUUCGAGACUGCUCAGAUGACACUGUUGAAGAGUUUCCCUUAUUAAUUAACAUUCCAAUGAAAAUUAUAAUGCCAAAAGGUUUUGAAAAGAUUUAUCAGCAAAGAAAUUCACUGAAGCAGCUGACCUUGCUGUCAUGAAGUUAGUUACCCUUCCCUCUGAAUCACCCCUGGACCUCAAGGUUUCAGGAAAUUUCUCCCCCAGCCUCAGCUUCCUGGAGAAUUUUGUAUCCCCUCUCAUUUGUGGGGUGUGAUAGGAUAAUAGCAGCAAUCCAGUCCUUAUUGUCUGUAUCUGCGGAUGAACAGUGCUGUAUAAGUGUAAAGUGUUAUUAUUAUUGUAAGGAAAUAAUAAUACUAAUAAAACAAAAUGAAUCGAA